CUGGCCCGGAGUGGAAGCAAAGUCCACCUGAAAUCUGAAAAAUCUCAAAAGUACAAUGAAUAAUGAUGCAUGUUCAUACACUCACCAAUCAGAAUUGAAGAUUGUUAAAAUUUUCACCAAUUGAAAUAAAAGAAGUAAAGGAUUACGGCGAAUGAUAAAGUCCUCCACUGGCAGUAUUGUUCUUGCUCCAAACCCAGAGGCCACAGACAAAACCACAGUUCAUUUGGUGGCUGAAGCUUACUGAAAACUUCCUUUCGUCUUGAUGCAGCCAGCUUUUUGGAUUACAUGGCAAGGGUGGCCUGAGCAAAGCGAUGGGAAAGAGUUGUUGGUGGAACAGUUUGUCCUGAGAGUCCUCCCUGCAUGCACAAGAAUCCCCAUCACAGGCUCUCCACUGGGAAACCCCAUCUGGGACAAAGGGAAAGAGCUUGGUGCAAUGGAAGGAUAGCAAGGGGACCAGCAU
rnacentral:lncRNA from 1 species